UACAGAGGUCCCAAGCGUUGUUCGGAUUCAUUGGGCGUAAAGGGUGCGUAGGCGGCGCGGGAAGUCGGGUGUGAAAUCUCGGAGCUUAACUCCGAAACUGCAUUCGAUACUGCCGUGCUUGAGGACUGGAGAGGAGACUGGAAUUUACGGUGUAGCGGUGAAAUGCGUAGAUAUCUGGAGGAACACCGGUGGCGAAGGCGGCAUCCUGGACCGACACUGACACUGAGGAGCGAAAGCCAGGGGAGCAAACGGG
rnacentral:rRNA from 1 species